rnacentral:rRNA from 1 species
CGAAAGUCUGACGGAGCAACGCCGCGUGAGCGAAGAAGGCCUUCGGGUCGUAAAGCUCUGUUGUUAGGGAAGAACAAGUACCAGAGUAACUGCUGGUACCUUGACGGUACCUAACCAGAAAGCCACGGCUAACUACGUGCCAGCAGCCGCGGUAAUACGUAGGUGGCAAGCGUUGUCCGGAAUUAUUGGGCGUAAAGCGCGCGCAGGUGGCUCUUUAAGUCUGAUGUGAAAGCCCACGGCUCAACCGUGGAGGGUCAUUGGAAACUGGGGGACUUGAGUGCAGAAGAGGAAAGUGGAAUUCCACGUGUAGCGGUGAAAUGCGUAGAGAUGUGGAGGAACACCAGUGGCGAAGGCGACUUUCUGGUCUGUAACUGACACUGAGGCGCGAAAGCGUGGGGAGCGAACAGGAUUAGAUACCCUGGUAGUCCACGCCGUAAACGAUGAGUGCUAAGUGUUAGGGGGUUUCCGCCCCUUAGUGCUGCAGCUAACGCAUUAAGCACUCCGCCUGGGGAGUAC